rnacentral:rRNA from 1 species
AGAAUUCAGUGAAUCAUCGAGUCUUUGAACGCACAUUGCGCCCCCUGGCAUUCCGGGGGGCAUGCCUGUCCGAGCGUCAUUGCUGCCCAUCAAGCCCGGCUUGUGUGUUGGGUCGUCGUCCCCCCCGGGGGACG